rnacentral:tRNA from 1 species
UCCCAAGUGGCUCAGUGGUAAAGAACCUGCCUGCCAAUGCAGGAGACACAGAUUUGAUUCCUGGUUUGGGAA